rnacentral:rRNA from 1 species
GGAGGCAGCAGUGAGGAAUAUUGGUCAAUGGGCGUAAGCCUGAACCAGCCAAGUCGCGUGAGGGAUGAAGGUUCUAUGGAUCGUAAACCUCUUUUAUAAGGGAAUAAAGUGUGGGACGUGUCCUAUUUUGUAUGUACCUUAUGAAUAAGGAUCGGCUAACUCCGUGCCAGCAGCCGCGGUAAUACGGAGGAUCCGAGCGUUAUCCGGAUUUAUUGGGUUUAAAGGGUGCGUAGGCGGCCUUUUAAGUCAGCGGUGAAAGUCUGUGGCUCAACCAUAGAAUUGCCGUUGAAACUGGGGGGCUUGAGUAUGUUUGAGGCAGGCGGAAUGCGUGGUGUAGCGGUGAAAUGCUUAGAUAUCACGCAGAACCCCGAUUGCGAAGGCAGCCUGCCAAGCCAUGACUGACGCUGAUGCACGAAAGCGUGGGGAUCAAACAGGAUUAGAUACCCUGGUAGUC